rnacentral:lncRNA from 1 species
UGGGUGGGAACACAGAGCCAAACCAUAUCAAUGUACUUAUUGCAAUCUGCUAUGGCUAUAUUUUCAUUACUAGGGACAAUUGUGACAGAACCUGACAGUCAUGAGACAAGCUUAUUAACCUCAUUCUUUUAUCUGUGGUAGAGGCAUGUGAGUGCCCCCUCACUGUUGACGACUUUUUUCCAAAUGUCAAGUCUUUCUGAAGUCUUUAAGGGAUGAAAUACUAUCCAAGUUCAAAGAGAGUCCUUUUUAGUCUCCCCUUUAGGCUCUGUGAAUUUGCUCUCUCCAGGGAUGGAUGGUGGAACUGCUAUAGUACCCAAAAAACAGGAAAUCUCCAGAGCAAUUCUGGGCAGAGAAAUUUGCUCUCCUGAAUGAAUAUUCUUGGACUCCUUUGUGAAGGUGCACAGAAACCCAGACUCUGUUUUGUGCUUUGAGAGACAGUGAGGUGAGCAUUUCAACAGAAAGGUGAGCAUUUUAACUUAGACCUGUAGAUACAGGUACAUUCAAAAAUUAAAAUUAUUUCUCUGGAACUAUUAAUAAGAAAUAAGAUUACUUCAUUCAUUAUUGUGCAGAGGCCUAGUUCUAAAAUAAUUUAAUGAUUUUCUUUCUGAGAAUCACUUUUCUAUUGAUCCUUUACAUAAGCAAAUAUGUAUAUGUUGCCUCAGGGAAAAUCAGG